UGAGUAACACGUAUCCAACCUGCCGUCUACUCUUGGACAGCCUUCUGAAAGGAAGAUUAAUACAAGAUGGCAUCAUGAGUCCGCAUGCUCACAUGAUUAAAGGUAUUCCGGUAGACGAUGGGGAUGCGUUCCAUUAGAUAGUAGGCGGGGUAACGGCCCACCUAGUCUUCGAUGGAUAGGGGUUCUGAGAGGAAGGUCCCCCACAUUGGAACUGAGACACGGUCCAGACUCCUACGGGAGGCAGCAUG
rnacentral:rRNA from 1 species